rnacentral:piRNA from 1 species
UUCAAUAAUCAAAUAAUGAAC